CUCGUUUUUGUUGUUUCUGAUGUGGAAACCGUCUUUCUAUACCCUUGGACAAUGAGUUUUGACGUAUUGGGUGUAUCCAAUUUUAUCGAAGCUUUCAUUUCCGUGCUUAUCUUAGUUGUCGGUUUAGUUUAUGCAUGACGAAAAGGAGCCUUGGAAUGGUCUUAA
rnacentral:rRNA from 1 species